rnacentral:rRNA from 1 species
CCUACGGGAGGCAGCAGUGAGGAAUAUUGGUCAAUGGACGAGAGUCUGAACCAGCCAAGCAGCGUGAAGGAUGACUGCCCUCUGGGUUGUAAACUUCUUUUAUAAGGGAAAAAAACGAGGCACGUGUCCAUUCUUGCAUGUACGUUAAGAAUAAGGAUAGGCUAACUCAGUGCCAGCAGCCGCGGUAAGACGGAGGAUCAGAGCGUUGUCCGGAUUGAUUGGGUUUAAAGGGAGCGUAGGUGGGUUGUUAAGUCAGUUGUGAAAGUUAGCGGCUCAACCGUAGAGUUGCAUUUGAUACUGGAAGUCUUGAGUGCAGGAGAGGUAAGCGGAAUUCGUGGUGUAGCGGUGAAAUGCUUAGAUAUCUCGAAGAACCCCGAUUGCGAAGGCAGCUUGCUAGAUUGUGACUGACGUUGAUGCUCGAAAGUGUGGGUAUCAAACAGGAUUAGAUACCCCUGUAGUC